CAGCCGGGGAGAGAGAAUGGAGGUGGUUUGCAUGGCGCGGGGUGUGAGUUUCGUGCGUUGUCUGCGUGUUUGGGGAGCUUCAUGAAGUGUGCACGGGUGAGUGAGAGCGUGGCGUGAAUGUCCUUGAGCUUGCGACGCUUUUUCUUACACAUUGAUCUUAUUUGAUCGGGCCGGGAGGUUGCCGUCUCCUCUGGUCUGAAAUGAGAAGACGCCUUUCCUGUGAAGCCUUCGGGCGCUGUACAGCGAAACGGGUUGCAGGCGGCGCUUAGCCGGAGAUGAUGAAUUGAUCAGAUAGAUGAGGCCGAAUGGAGGGGAUACUCUCCUUACUGGCCAGUGUGUACUGAGGCGAUUCUGAUCCGG